AUUGAGUAAGAUACCUUCUUCUUGUUGAUGGUUACUUUACUUUUUUCCUCUGUCUGUUGUUGCAGUUCUGUUAUGAGAGAAAAGUUGUGAAGGGGUGUGGGGUUGAAUAAUUAAGAAAUGAUAAACCUAACUACAUCUUUCUAUAUGGUCCUGAAAUCCUAUAUCCUAUGAUGUCCUUUGAGACUCUAUUUGUGGAGUGUAUCGAUGACGUCAAAAGGGAAAAUGCUAUUAAACUCAAAGGAGAGGAGAUUAUUGAAGCUAAACUGAUUACAAUGUUGUUGUUUGCAUUAUGGAGCCUUAAUUAACCAUUGACAUAGUUUCUCACUCUCCACCUAGAGAUUUCGGGUUCGAUUGCAACCGUUCAAAAAAAUCUUAGCUGUUGCUACAACCAUAAGUGUGUAAAUAUGUUAUGUAA